rnacentral:rRNA from 1 species
GCCAGACUCCUACGGGAGGCAGCAGUGAGGAAUAUUGCACAAUGGGGGAAACCCUGAUGCAGCAACGCCGCGUGAGUGAAGAAGGUUUUCGGAUUGUAAAGCUCUGUUAGCAGGGAAGAGGAAGGACGGUACCUGCAGAGGAAGCCACGGCUAACUACGUGCCAGCAGCCGCGGUAAUACGUAGGGGGCAAGCGUUAUCCGGAUUUACUGGGUGUAAAGGGAGCGUAGACGGCAGCACAAGUCUGGAGUGAAAUCCCGGGGCUUAACCCCGGAACUGCUUUGGAAACUGUGCGGCUGGAGUGCAGGAGGGGUAAGCGGAAUUCCUAGUGUAGCGGUGAAAUGCGUAGAUAUUAGGAGGAACACCGGUGGCGAAGGCGGCUUACUGGACUGUAACUGACGUUGAGGCUCGAAAGCGUGGGGAGCAAACAGGAUUAGAUACCCCAGUAACG